AACGUACUCCCUCCGUUUCAUAAUUCUUGUCGAAAUAUUACAUGCAUCUAGACAAUUUUUAGGAACAGAUACAUCCAUUUUUGGAUAAAUUGGAGACAAGAAUUAUGAAACGGAAGGAGUAUUAC
rfam:Brachypodium distachyon strain Bd21 chromosome 1, whole genome shotgun sequence.